AACCCUAUACGGGGGAUCACUUGGCUCGUGGGUCGAUGAAGAACGCAGCUAACUGUGUGAAAUCGUGUGAACUGCAGGACACAUGAACAUCGACAUUUUGAACGCAUAUUGCGGUCCAUGCAA
rnacentral:rRNA from 1 species